rnacentral:lncRNA from 1 species
CUGGUUUUAAAUUAGCUUAAUUAAUUCGUCGCGAUUAUUAUCCUCCAAGUACUUAAUAUUUCCCUGUAUCUCUCCCCCUCUGUUGGAUUUUCUCUAAUGGGAAAGGGAUGUUUGUCUGGGGAAUCUGCGUGGAUAUGAAAUCGUAGAACGGUGAAUCGAUUAUAGAGUUGGCCAGAAACUGUGGUGAGUGAGUGGUAUUGAAGAACGUUGUUGUUUUGAUGCGACUGUUAGAAGAAGAUCAGAAGCACUGCUUGAUUAUGAAAACAAUAGAUAACUCAUCAUUCCUUGAACUAGGACCGCCAAAAGUUGUAACUAAUACGAUGGAGGAUGAGGAAUCUUGAUUAAACAGAGCAGCA